AUUGAACGCUGGCGGCAUGCCUUACACAUGCAAGUCGAACGGUAACGCGGGGCAACCUGGCGACGAGUGGCGAACGGGUGAGUAAUGCAUCGGAACGUGCCCAGUAGUGGGGGAUAGCCCGGCGAAAGCCGGAUUAAUACCGCAUACGACCUACGGGUGAAAGGGGGGGCUCGCAAGACCGCUCGCUAUUGGACGGGCCGAGGUCAGAGUCGGUAGGUGGUGGGGUAAAGGCCUACCAAGCCGACGAUCUGUAGCUGGUCUGAGAGGACGACCAGCCACACUGGGACUGAGACACGGCCCAGACUCCUACGGGAGGCAGCAGUGGGGAAUUUUGGACAAUGGGCGCAAGCCUGAUCCAGCCAUGCCGCGUGCGGGAAGAAGGCCUUCGGGUUGUAAACCGCUUUUGUCAGGGAAGAAACGCGCUGAGCUAAUACCUCGGCGUAAUGACGGUACCUGAAGAAUAAGCACCGGCUAACUACGUGCCAGCAGCCGCAGUAAGAC
rnacentral:rRNA from 1 species